CCUACGGGAGGCAGCAGUGAGGAAUAUUGGUCAAUGGACGAGAGUCUGAACCAGCCAAGUAGCGUGAAGGAUGACUGCCCUAUGGGUUGUAAACUUCUUUUAUAUGGGAAUAAAACGUUCCACGUGUGGGAUUUUGUAUGUACCAUAUGAAUAAGGAUCGGCUAACUCCGUGCCAGCAGCCGCGGUAAUACGGAGGAUUCGAGCGUUAUCCGGAUUUAUUGGGUUUAAAGGGAGCGUAGGUGGAUUGUUAAGUCAGUUGUGAAAGUUUGCGGCUCAACCGUAAAAUUGCAGUUGAAACUGGCAGUCUUGAGUACAGUAGCGGUAGGCGGAAUUCGUGGUGUAGCGGUGAAAUGCUUAGAUAUCACGAAGAACUCCGAUUGCGAAGGCAGUUCACUAGACUGCAACUGACACUGAGGCUCGAAAGUGUGGGUAUCAAACAGGAUUAGAUACCCCGGUAGUC
rnacentral:rRNA from 1 species